AACGAACGCUGGCGGCAUGCCUAACACAUGCAAGUCGAACGAGACCUUCGGGUCUAGUGGCGCACGGGUGCGUAACGCGUGGGAACCUGCCCUUAGGUUCGGAAUAACUCCCCGAAAGGGGUGCUAAUACCGGAUAAUGUCUUCGGACCAAAGAUUUAUCGCCUUUGGAUGGGCCCGCGUUGGAUUAGCUAGUUGGUAGGGUAAAAGCCUACCAAGGCGACGAUCCAUAGCUGGUCUGAGAGGAUGAUCAGCCACACUGGGACUGAGACACGGCCCAGACUCCUACGGGAAGGAGCAGUGGGGAAUAUUGGACAAUGGGGGAAGGCCUGAUCCAGCAAUGCCGGGGGAGUGAUGAAGGCCUUAGGGUUGUAAAGCUCUUUUACCCGGGAUGAUAAUGACGGUACCGGGAGAAUAAGCUCCGGCUAACUCCGUG
rnacentral:rRNA from 1 species